rnacentral:rRNA from 1 species
GCAGUAGCCGCGGGAACACAGAGGGUGCGAGCGUUAAUCGGAUUUACUGGGCGUAAAGCGUGCGUAGGCGGCUUUUUAAGUCGGAUGUGAAAUCCCUGAGCUUAACUUAGGAAUUGCAUUCGAUACUGGGAAGCUAGAGUAUGGGAGAGGAUGGUAGAAUUCCAGGUGUAGCGGUGAAAUGCGUAGAGAUCUGGAGGAAUACCGAUGGCGAAGGCAGCCAUCUGGCCUAAUACUGACGCUGAGGUACGAAAGCAUGGGGAGCAAACAGGAUUAGAUACCCCCGUAGUCCCUGUCUCUUAUAC